CCUCAAUCAAUAUAUUACAGUGGUCAUAAACAAAAAUGCAUUGGAUCAGACCUGCAGGGACCAAUUGCUUAUCUUGUACUGGCUUGAAGAAAAGGCGGGGAUCAUCGAGCUUUCGAUCUGUCUUGCUGUAAGCAAUCUUUUGUACGUCCCUGAUAGAGAAACUAUUUUCCGUCGAUGAUGGUGGACAGUACCCUCACAGCGAAUGUCAGGCGAGAGAUUGCCAAGCUGCAGGUAUUCAACAAAGUGCACUUUGUGCUGCAAAUAUUAUAAUUACGAUUGAGCGCCUUAAGCUCAUGAUCCUGCGUAGGUGGAUUUGAAUGCACUGAACACGGAAGAUCUGCGUCUGAGCGCUGAAAAG
rnacentral:lncRNA from 1 species